rnacentral:lncRNA from 1 species
GCCACGUUUACAUAUGCCACCUAAGAAACUCAUUUUUAAAACACUCAUUCACUCUUAACCAAAAACCCCAAAUCAACCAUUUUUGAACCCUUGCCCCAAAUUUCCCGAAUUCUUCCCCUCAAAUCCUACCCAGUCCGUCGAAGAAGAAGACAAAGAAAAGAACACCGACGAUGUCGCGCAGUGGAGUGUCAAACGCAGGUAAAAUUUAUUUACUUUUUUGAUAUCAUUAUUACUUCCUUUUGAUUCUUCGGUACUCACUAUAUCUGUAAUGGUUCUCUGCAUCUUCAUUGAUGUGUUGGUGUUCAUCCAUUUAUUAUUUUACUAUAUAUUUACCUAUUUGUUUUAGUUUUAUGUAAACAAUAGGCUUUACUUAUGUUCAUCCACACGGUUUCAAGCUUUUCAAUUCAGACUUGCAUAAAAGUUUUGCCUUUUUCCCUCUAAUCCGAAUCUAAAAGACGUGACUUUUGUCAGGAAUCUUUCAAAUGGAAAGGGAAAUUUUAUAGGUUGAAGGAAUUAGAUUUUGCAUUUGACAAAUUCACUAAGGGUACAAAAUCAGUUUUUGCAUUUGAGAAAUUCACUUUGCAUUUCCAGUCAUCAAGAUUAUUAUGGUUGUCUAUAAAUUUAAGUAUAUUGAUCCCUCCCAACCAACUGAAGAGAAAAAACACAAAAAUCAAGAUUUACGAUAUACACAAUGCAUGUGAAAUUUCAUUUUUGCUUUUUUUUUUUUUUUUGUGGGAUUAUGUAACUACAAUUUAGUUUUAAGCAUGUUACUUUGGUCAUUUUGGGAUGAAAUAUUAUGUUCUUAUUUUGGACUGAUUGUUCUAUGCAUUAUGGUGACGGGGUGGGGGGAUGAUCCGAAUUUUAUCGUCCCUUAUAAUGAAUAUCAUACGGAUGAGGAUGAUGACAUGUACAUUCAAAAUAUGGAUGAAGUUAUUGACUUGGAAUACCCAUCCUCAAAGGAAUUAUUGUCUGGCUUUUCAUCGAAUGACUAACCAAGGCCAAGAUUUCCAGAAUUUUGUGCGGAUAAGGAUAUGCAGGAUCCAAAAUUCGUGGUUGGCCAGAAGUUCAGUUUGGUAGAUUCUUUUAGACAGGAAGUUAGAACAUACGGGGCAUUCCAUAGGUACAAUGUGAAAUUUAAAACUAAUGAUAGAUCAAGGGUGCAAGCCGUAUGCAAGGAAUGAUGCAAUUGGAAUAUCUGGGCAUCUAAGACAUGUAAAGACGAAGCAUUUCAAAUAAAAUCAAUGGCCCCAGCACACACAUGCAGCCGUGACAAGAUAUAUAGAUGCCUCACGUAUGAUUUUUUAGCUAAGCGAUAUCUGGAGACUUUUAGAGAGAAUCCUGAACGAAAGACAUCAAGUUUCAUUCGCCGUGUGAAGCAAGACCUAAAGUCUGACAUUAGUCGGGAUGUUGCAUGGAGGGCGCGAAGGCAUGUGAAGUUGCUUUUGGAAGGUAGUUGGGAAAAACAGUUUUAGAUGCUUCGAUCAUAUGCUGCAGAAGUUUUCUGAUCGAACCCAGGAUCUACUGUAUUCAUUGCAUUGAGGGAGCAGGUUUUUAAAGGAAUAUACAUUUGCUUUGAAGCAUGCAAGCGGAGGUUUCUGAAUGGUUGUAGGAAGAUAAUUGGAUUGGAUGGGUGUCAUUUAAGGGGGGAUUACGGAGGACAAAAGCUUAUAGUGGUUGCAUACAAUGUAAAUGAUUGCAUUUACCCGGUUGCUUACGCGGUAAUUGAGGGGGAGAAUACGGUAAGUUGGCGAUGGUUUGUGCAACACUUGGCGAAUGACCUUGGUAUUGAUGACAGUAACCGGUGGACUUUUAUGACUGAUCGUCGGAAGGGCCUUCAAAAUGUGAUUGAUGAUUUAUUUCCCGCUGUUGAACAUUGAUUUUGUGUGAGGCACAUGUAUCAAAAUUUUCAAAGCAGGUUUCAAAGACUGAAUUCUGAGGGAUUACUUGUGGAGAGCUACUAAGUCAACCAUAGUUGCGCAUUAUUUGAUGUGGAUGCAACAAAUCAAACAAGUGUAUGAAAAUGCACAUGAUGGUUUGAUCAAAAGGGAUCCACGGGAGUGGAGCAAGUCUCACUUUCAGGUUAUAGUGAAGAGCGACAUUGUUUUGAAUAAUGAUUGUGAGAUUUUCAGUAAGACAUUGAUAGAUGACAGAGAGAAAUCAAUACUCACAAUGCUAACUUCCAUUCAACUUACCUUCUGAAGAGUCUACAAGGAAGAAGGGAUAAGAUGAGGGCCUACGAAGGGGCCAUAUGUCCUAAGAUAUAAAUAAAUAAAUAAAUUGGUGAGGAAUAUUGAGUUGGCGGAUGGAUGCGACAUCAAUUGGUCCGGAGGACCAAAGUAUCAGGUGACGAGUGCAAGUGGACAAUACGUGGUUGACUUGGAACAACGUACAUGUGCCUGUAGAUGGUGGGAACUAACAGGGAUCCCAUGAUGUCAUGCAGUUGCAGUUAUUCUGGACACACGAAAUCAGCCAGAGGAUUAUGUAGAUAGGUGCUACUCAGUGGAAAAAUACCUUGCUUGCAACGAAAACAUACUCAGUCCUAUGAACGGAUCUUUUGUGUGACUAAGUGUGGAAGCUCUUCCAAUCGAAGCUCCUAAUUGGGUAGAAACACAAAAGGGAAAGAGACCAAAAAAAAAAAAAGCAGAAGAAAGGGAGCUGAAGAAGAUUAUAUUGAACAUUCAUGAGGGAGAUCUAAAAUAUCAAAAAAGGAAAAUUGCAUAAUGACGUGUUCUGUCUACAGCAGGCAAGGGCAUAAUAAAAAAUAUCACGCAAGGGCCGAUGCUCCAGAUUCCGUAAGUUUUGUCAACCUGCCUAUUUAAUAUAAAUAUACAUUUUUUUCUCCAUUUCUUCACCCCUUCUUAUCAGUACUUUUGUCCAUUUAGGAGUGGUUCAACACGACCCUAGAGCCAGUUUGUUCUGAAAGAGAGCGACCUGGGUGGCUGGAAGAAAACUAACUCCAGACAGAGGAAGUGUUGGACAGCCCACCCAAUUGGACUGAUUUCAACAUUCUGGUGUUUUUUGGAUGGUUGGCAGAUGGUUUUUGGUGUACUUUUUUGGCUGAAUGUAAUUAGUAGAUGAUGUUUUUUGGAUGUUCUGGUGUAUGCUUUUGGCUAAGUUUAAUUACAUGUUUGAAUGUGAUUAGUAGAUGAUGGUUUUUGGAUGUUUUGGUGUAAGCUUUUGGUUAAAUGUAAUUACAUGGAUGAAUGUAAUUAGUGGAUGAUAAACUUUGGAUGCCAACUAAAAGGGAUGCCUGCUGUUGCAUAUUUUAGUUAUUAGCUUACAGGCAAACUUUUUCACCUUCCAAAAUGUCAUUAAUUUUGGAUGCAUGGUAUUGUUGCAUAAAUGUUGCUGGU